rnacentral:snRNA from 1 species
GAUCCGAGUUAUACGGGU